UACGUAGGGGGCAAGCGUUGUCCGGAAUCAUUGGGCGUAAAGCGCGUGUAGGCGGCCAGAAAAGUCCGCUGUGAAAACUCGAGGCUCAACUUCGAGCUGUCGGUGGAAACUUUCUGGCUAGAGUCCGGAAGAGGAGAAUGGAAUUCCUGGUGUAGCGGUGAAAUGCGCAGAUAUCAGGAAGAACACCUGCGGCGAAGGCGGGUUGCUGGGCUGAUACUGACGCUGAGGCGCGAAAGCCAGGGGAGCGAACGGG
rnacentral:rRNA from 1 species